AUUGAACGCUGGCGGCAGGCUUAACACAUGCAAGUCGAGCGGAGAUGAGGUGCUUGCACCUUAUCUUAGCGGCGGACGGGUGAGUAAUGCUUAGGAAUCUGCCUAUUAGUGGGGGACAACAUUCCGAAAGGAAUGCUAAUACCGCAUACGCCCUACGGGGGAAAGCAGGGGAUCUUCGGACCUUGCGCUAAUAGAUGAGCCUAAGUCGGAUUAGCUAGUUGGUGGGGUAAAGGCCUACCAAGGCGACGAUCUGUAGCGGGUCUGAGAGGAUGAUCCGCCACACUGGGACUGAGACACGGCCCAGACUCCUACGGGAGGCAGCAGUGGGGAAUAUUGGACAAUGGGCGGAAGCCUGAUCCAGCCAUGCCGCGUGUGUGAAGAAGGCCUUUUGGUUGUAAAGCACUUUAAGCGAGGAGGAGGCUACCUGGAUUAAUACUCUAGGAUAGUGGACGUUACUCGCAGAAUAAGCACCGGCUAACUCUGUGCCAGCAGCCGCAGUAAAAC
rnacentral:rRNA from 1 species